CGUAGGGGCGAAGCGUUAUCCGGAUUUACUGGGUGUAAAGGGAGCGUAGACGGCAUGGCAAGUCUGAAGUGAAAACCCCAAGGGCUCAAACCCUGGGGACUGCUUUGGAAAACUGUCAAGCUAGAAUGCAGGAGAGGUAAGUGGAAUUCCUAGUGUAGCGGUGAAAUGCGUAGAUAUUAGGAGGAACACCAGUGGCGAAGGCGGCUUACUGGACUGUAACUGACGUUGAGGCUCGAAAGCGUGGGGAGCAAACAGGAUU
rnacentral:rRNA from 1 species